rnacentral:piRNA from 2 species
UGACAAAGGAUUUGGUGUUAGCAAGGUUC